rnacentral:rRNA from 1 species
CGCGGCCUAUCAGCUUGUUGGUGGGGUGAUGGCCUACCAAGGCGACGACGGGUAGCCGGCCUGAGAGGGCGACCGGCCACACUGGGACUGAGACACGGCCCAGACUCCUACGGGAGGCAGCAGUGGGGAAUAUUGCACAAUGGGCGGAAGCCUGAUGCAGCGACGCCGCGUGAGGGAUGACGGCCUUCGGGUUGUAAACCUCUUUCAGCAGGGACGAAGCGUAAGUGACGGUACCUGCAGAAGAAGCGCCGGCCAACUACGUGCCAGCAGCCGCGGUAAGACGUAGGGCGCGAGCGUUGUCCGGAUUUAUUGGGCGUAAAGAGCUCGUAGGCGGCUUGUCGCGUCGACUGUGAAAUCCCGUGGCUCAACUGCGGGUCUGCAGUCGAUACGGGCAGGCUAGAGUUCGGUAGGGGAGACUGGAAUUCCUGGUGUAGCGGUGAAAUGCGCAGAUAUCAGGAGGAACACCGGUGGCGAAGGCGGGUCUCUGGGCCGAUACUGACGCUGAGGAGCGAAAGCGUGGGGAGCGAACAGGAUUAGAUACCCUGGUAGUCCACGCUGUGAACGUUGGGCGCUAGGUGUGGGGGGCCUCUCCGGUUCUCUGUGCCGCAGCUAACGCAUUAAGCGCCCCGCCUGGGGAGUACGG